CGCUUUGGCAGCACGUGUACUUUUAAAAUUGGAAUGAUACAGAGAUUAGCAAGGCCCCUGUGCAAGGAUGAUGUGCAAAUUCGUGAAGCACUCCAUAUUUUU
ensembl:snRNA U6 U6 spliceosomal RNA